GAUGAACGCUAGCGGCAGGCCUAACACAUGCAAGUCGAGGGGCAUCGCGGUGCAGCAAUGCACUGGCGGCGACCGGCGUACGGGUGCGUAACGCGUAUGCAACCUGCCCCGCACCGGGGGAUAGCCCGCCGAAAGGCGGAUUAAUACCCCAUGGCCCCGGGGGCCCGCAUGGGCAUCCGGGUAAAGCCUUGGCGGUGCGGGAUGGGCAUGCGUGCCAUUAGCUGGCUGGUGGGGUAACGGCCCACCAGGGCAACGAUGGCUAGGGGGUCUGAGAGGAUGGUCCCCCACACUGGUACUGAGACACGGACCAGACUCCUACGGGAGGCAGCAGUGAGGAAUAUUGGUCAAUGGGCGGAAGCCUGAACCAGCCAUGCCGCGUGCGGGAUGAAGGCCCUACGGGUUGUAAACCGCUUUUCCCCGGGAAGAAUAACCCCGAUGAGUCGGGGAUGCCGGUACCGGGGGAAUAAGGAUCGGCUAACUCCGUG
rnacentral:rRNA from 1 species